AAUCGUCAUGCCUUAACGACAUUUCCUUCGGCACGGAAUGGAUUUCUUCUGUACUAUAUUGCCAGAGUCACAAGGUUUCUGGAGAAAAACAACAGUGCAGGCUGUAGAGAAAAACACAAGUAAUCUUUUUGCAAUCUCAACCAAUGCGUGAAGACUCAACCCCCACAUUUCCCACCUUUCCAAGGAAAACGUUGACAAUGACAAUAACAGCCCAGAAGCCUUUCAGCGCUCACACUCAGACUGAAGGAGCUGCAGACAAAAGAAGGUGAAAUCUUACCUUGACAGAGGAGGACUGACCCUCUUCGGUCUGCUGCAGAGUCGGUAUAGAGAGGUGGAGCUCUGGGGAAUCACACACAAACACCGGUGUCAGUGAUGAGCCCGGUAUGAAUGACCGGGGGAAAUGAAGUGCAGGUCAGAGCUGAUGGAGAAUUAACAUCACUGGAAAGGGAGGUGUUGUCAAGACAAUUGGCUGUCGCUAUGGCAACGCUACAGCAGCAACAGGAGGUGAGCGACACCCCUCCAUGAUGCCCGGGCGCACGGGGGCAGUAUUUGAUCUCUGGCCUCGUCACAUGACUGCAGCAGGUCAAGAAACAAAGCCGUGGCUCCUAAACCAAUCCACUGUCCUCGUGGGGCUGAAUCCCUCCCAGACUCACACACUCUCAAACAAGCACACACACACACACACACACACACACACACACACACACACACACGCACACACACGCACACACGAACAGUCCUGCUGCUCUCUUAUCUGUUCGACUGGAGCAUCACAGCUGUCUUCUUUCUUUCUUCCCAGCUUGAAAGCGCUGCGCUCAAUACCCUCCACCUUGUUAAAAGGCACCUGUUUCUGAACAGAAGUGACUUUGUCUGACUGAACAUCUUCAGACUGUGCACCGCGCUCACGAGCUGAACAUACCAAAACUGUAUUGCUCCAUCAUUUGAGGGAAUCACAGAAAGCAGGUGCAGCUCAAGUCAGCUGCUUCAUCUCACUUUUUUCUCUUUUCUAGAACAGUUUCUUGUGGUCCUCCUUUAAAAAAGGACCAGAAUCCAGCUGAGGCUGUCUUUAAAUUCAUGUGAACAACGAGUAGUGAAAUUCACAUGAAAUACAGUGAGAAAGAGAAAACAUGAAGGAGAAAAUUGGAAUCCGAGCCGAGACAAGUUGAAGAUGAGCAUCAGAGGGAGCUGUCACAUCCUAAAGCCACGCUCGUCGUCCCCUGAGCCACACAGUCCUCGCCGUAAACCCACAGCGCCCUCGAGCCUCGUUUCUAAAGCAAUUGUCACAGAUUUACUCAAGCGAGACUGUAAGACAGCGCGAUAAAUCAAGUUUCUAACAUGUUUGAGGAAUUACUGACAUGUUCAAUAACUGAAUCAU